rnacentral:misc_RNA from 1 species
GAUGAAGAACGUAGCGAAAUGCGAUAAGUAGUGUGAAUUGCAGAAUUCAGUGAAUCAUCGAAUCUUUGAACGCACAUUGCGCCCCUUGGUAUUCCAUGGGGCAUGCCUGUUCGAGCGUCAUUUGUACCUUCAAGCUUUGCUUGGUGUUGGGUGUUUGUCCCUCGGGACUCGCCUUAAAGUCAUUGGCAGCCAGUGUUUUGGUUUUGAAGCGCAGCACAAGUCGCGAUUCAAGGCUAUCCGCCCGCUUCCACAAGCCUUUUUCACUUUUGACCUCGGAUCAGGUAGGGAUACCCGCUGAACUUAAGCAUAUCAAUAAGCGGACGA